rnacentral:rRNA from 1 species
GAUGAACGCUGACAGAAUGCUUAACACAUGCAAGUCAACUUGAACUUCGGUUUGGGUGGCGGACGGGUGAGUAACGCGUAAAGAACUUGCCUCACAGAUAGGGACAACAUUUGGAAACGAAUGCUAAUACCUGAUAUUAUGAUUAUAUGGCAUCGUAUAAUUAUGAAAGCUAUAUGCGCUGUGAGAGAGCUUUGCGUCCCAUUAGCUAGUUGGAGAGGUAACGGCUCACCAAGGCGAUGAUGGGUAGCCGGCCUGAGAGGGUGAUCGGCCACAAGGGGAAUGAGACACGGCCCUUACUCCUACGGGAGGCAACAGUGGGGAAUAUUGGACAAUGGACCAAGAGUCUGAUCCAGCAAUUCUGUGUGCACGAUGAAGUUUUUCGGAAUGUAAAGUGCUUUCAGUUGGGAAGAAAAAAAUGACGGUACCAACAGAAGAAGUGACGGCUAAAUACGUG